CGCUUUCGCACCUGAGCGUCAGUCUUUGUCCAGGGGGCCGCCUUCGCCACCGGUAUUCCUCCAGAUCUCUACGCAUUUCACCGCUACACCUGGAAUUCUACCCCCCUCUACAAGACUCAAGCUUGCCAGUUUCAAAUGCAGUUCCCAGGUUGAGCCCGGGGAUUUCACAUCUGACUUAACAAACCGCCUGCGUGCGCUUUACGCCCAGUAAUUCCGAUUAACGCUUGCACCCUCCGUAUUACCGCGGCUGCUGGCACGGAGUUAGCCGGUGCUUCUUCUGCGAGUAACGUCAAUCGCUAAGGUUAUUAACCUUAACGCCUUCCUCCUCGCUGAAAGUACUUUACAACCCGAAGGCCUUCUUCAUACACGCGGCAUGGCUGCAUCAGGCUUGCGCCCAUUGUGCAAUAUUCCCCACUGCUGCCUCCCGUAGGAGUCUGGACCGUGUCUCAGUUCCAGUGUGGCUGGUCAUCCUCUCAGACCAGCUAGGGAUCGUCGCCUAGGUGAGCCAUUACCCCACCUACUAGCUAAUCCCAUCUGGGCACAUCUGAUGGCAUGAGGCCCGAAGGUCCCCCACUUUGGUCUUGCGACGUUAUGCGGUAUUAGCUACCGUUUCCAGUAGUUAUCCCCCUCCAUCAGGCAGUUUCCCAGACAUUACUCACCCGUCCGCCGCUCGUCACCCGAGAGCAAGCUC
rnacentral:rRNA from 1 species